UGCCAGCCGCCGCGGUAAUACGGAGGGUGCGAGCGUUGUCCGGAUUUAUUGGGUUUAAAGGGUGCGUAGGCGGUUUAAUAAGUCAGUGGUGAAAUUCUGCAGCUCAACUGUAGGCGUGCCAUUGAUACUGUUAGACUUGAGUACACUAUAGGCAGGCGGAAUUUAUGAUGUAGCGGUGAAAUGCAUAGAUGUCAUAAAGAACCCCGAUAGCGAAGGCAGCUUACUAGACUGUAACUGACGCUGAGGCACGAAAGCGUGGGGAGCGAACAGGAUUAGAUA
rnacentral:rRNA from 1 species